rnacentral:rRNA from 1 species
UUGGUGUUACUGCGAAGGGGGGACGGAGAAGGCUAUGUUGGCCGGGCGACGGUUGUCCCGGUUUAAGCGUGUAGGCUGGUUUUCCAGGCAAAUCCGGAAAAUCAAGGCUGAGGCGUGACGACGAGGCACUACGGUGCUGAAGCAACAAAUGCCCUGCUUCCAGGAAAAGCCUCUAAGCAUCAGGUAACACGAAAUCGUACCCCAAACCGACACAGGUGGUCAGGUAGAGAAUACCAAGGCGCUUGAGAGAACUCGGGUGAAGGAACUAGGCAAAAUGGUGCCGUAACUUCGGGAGAAGGCACGCUGACACGUAGGUGAAGUGAUUUACUCAUGGAGCUGAAGUCAGUCGAAGAUACCAGCUGGCUGCAACUGUUUAUUAAAAACACAGCACUGUGCAAACACGAAAGUGGACGUAUACGGUGUGACGCCUGCCCGGUGCCGGAAGGUUAAUUGAUGGGGUCAGCGCAAGCGAAGCUCCUGAUCGAAGCCCCGGUAAACGGCGGCCGUAACUAUAACGGUCCUAAGGUAGCGAAAUUCCUUGUCGGGUAAGUUCCGACCUGCACGAAUGGCGUAAUGAUGGCCAGGCUGUCUCCACCCGAGACUCAGUGAAAUUGAACUCGCUGUGAAGAUGCAGUGUACCCGCGGCAAGACGGAAAGACCCCGUGAACCUUUACUAUAGCUUGACACUGAACAUUGAGCCUUGAUGUGUAGGAUAGGUGGGAGGCUUUGAAGCGUGGACGCCAGUCUGCGUGGAGCCGACCUUGAAAUACCACCCUUUAAUGUUUGAUGUUCUAACGUGGACCCGUGAUCCGGGUUGCGGACAGUGUCUGGUGGGUAGUUUGACUGGGGCGGUCUCCUCCUAAAGAGUAACGGAGGAGCACGAAGGUUGGCUAAUCCUGGUCGGACAUCAGGAGGUUAGUGCAAUGGCAUAAGCCAGCUUGACUGCGAGCGUGACGGCGCGAGCAGGUGCGAAAGCAGGUCAUAGUGAUCCGGUGGUUCUGAAUGGAAGGGCCAUCGCUCAACGGAUAAAAGGUACUCCGGGGAUAACAGGCUGAUACCGCCCAAGAGUUCAUAUCGACGGCGGUGUUUGGCACCUCGAUGUCGGCUCAUCACAUCCUGGGGCUGAAGUAGGUCCCAAGGGUAUGGCUGUUCGCCAUUUAAAGUGGUACGCGAGCUGGGUUUAGAACGUCGUGAGACAGUUCGGUCCCUAUCUGCCGUGGGCGCUGGAGAACUGAGGGGGGCUGCUCCUAGUACGAGAGGACCGGAGUGGACGCAUCACUGGUGUUCGGGUUGUCAUGCCAAUGGCACUGCCCGGUAGCUAAAUGCGGAAGAGAUAAGUGCUGAAAGCAUCUAAGCACGAAACUUGCCCCGA